AACGUAGGAGGCGAGCGUUAUCCGGAUUUACUGGGCGUAAAGCGCACGCAGGCGGCGGUGUGAGUCGGACGUGAAAGCUCCUGGCUUAACUGGGAGAGGUCGUUCGAUACUGCACGGCUUGAGGUUGGGAGAGGGGUGCGGAAUUCCCGGUGUAGUGGUGGAAUGCGUAGAUAUCGGGAGGAACACCAGUGGCGAAGGCGGCACCCUGGCCCACACCUGACGCUGAGGUGCGAAAGCGUGGGUAGCAAAC
rnacentral:rRNA from 1 species